AGCCCAUUAUUCCGACAGCCCGCUGUUACGAAAUUGUGAGAACAGCAACGUGAACCACUAUAGCCCACAUGUACAUCCCAAUUAAUUGAUCACACAAUCAUAAACAUAUAUAUGCAUUUAUUUCACAAGCAUGAACUUUAAUUCAGAAUAUUAUUAUACACACAUGGCAUUUGCAUCGCGAUGAUAAAAAAAAAUACUUUUAUGAUAGCCAACGCAUGCAUGCUUUGUCAGUGCUUGACAACAUUUGCGUAAUGUCCUGCGACAAUCUGCCGGUGAUUUCCUUGGCACGAGUGGUACCCCAUAUUCAAAACCAGAGUAGGCUAAAUUAACAAAUAUUGCCUAGAAAAAGUGAUAUGCGUGAUAGCCCGGUGAGCGUCUCCGCUCCGCUGCGCAAAGCUGUGUGAAUAUUUCUAAAUUAUGCUAGGGGGACUAUUUUUCGGAAUAUUGAGAUUUCGGAAUAUCGGGCUUUCGGAACACUGGGCCGUCCCCCUAACAUCAGGCUAAUGCUAACACUAGCCAUUAUUCAUAAUAACAGCUAAGAGUGACCACAGACCAACCCAUCUAACAUCAGGCUAAUGCUAACACUAGCCAUUAUUCAUAAUAACAGCUAAGAGUGACCACAGACCAACACCUCUAACAUCAGGCUAAUGCUAACACUAGCCAUAAUGCAUUAGUGACAGCUAAGAGUGACCACAGACGAACUGCUCUGUGUUCUAACGCUGAUGCUAAACCGUAACAGCAGAUGAGAGGUAAUGUGGCAGGGACCAUGUCAGGGCCUAAAUAAAUAAAAACCUGUCCCAAGUCCUUCACACCGGCUCCUCUACGAGCGACUCUAGCAGGCUAGAAUGUGUGGCUUCAUCUACAAGCUAUUCUUAUUAUGUGUAGGUUCAUCUGCAAGUUAUGUCAGCCAUGAGUUAAAAUGUGUGUGUAGGUUCGUGUGUAGUGGAGUUUAGCUAUGAGAGGGUUCCUCUACAAGCUGGUUUAGCCAUGUGGUUAGCUAUGUGUUUAGGCUUCUCUACUAGUUAGCCAUGUAUUAUCACAGCUGUGUGUAGCUUUACUCUACGAGUUGCUCGGUAACGGGUGCGUUCUUCUCAGCCAGGCAGUGAAUGAGUGAUGAAUGAGAAUGAGUUUUCUUUCUUCUAAAGCAUGUUUCCAGAGACACUCACCACUAAAACUACCUACACACACACGCACGCACGCACACACACACAAUUUAAGCACACACGGGCCACACACACAUAGACACACUGUUUCAUUCAAACUCUGCCAUUGAGCCACGCACCCAUCGACCCUGUGCCCUGCACAGCUGACACUCUCUAGCAUGCGUCAGCUCACACACACACACACACACACACACACGCACACACGCACACACACACACACACACGCGUGCGCUCAUCAGCCCCAGUACUGGUCUACAGACUCCUGCUUCACAUUCAGAUCAGCCUUCGCAUGCACGUGCAGAGAGAGAGAGAGAGAGAGAGGAAGAGAGAGAAAGAGAGAGAGGAAGAGAGAGAAAGAGAGAGAGAGAACCGCUACACAGGAUAUUAGUGAUCUGCUCAUACCGAUUCAAUCCUACACACAGAAUUUAGCCAACAUUCACACACCUCGUUGAGCUCACAGAAAGUACAGGGCGGAAGUGUGGCUGUGGUGUUUUACACUAAUUCACACAAACAUCGCUGGAGUUACAGAAAAACGCCAUAACUAUGUGCGGAAGGCUUAGUCAGUGUUUGGGUGUGGAUAGAACGACACCAGCAUCUGUUAGAGGACACUGAAAAGGCUCACUGGGUAU
ensembl:lncRNA